ensembl:lncRNA ladinin 1
CGACGGAACACGUGACGCGCGACAGGUGCGCGGGGUAAAGGUGGCGCGCGCGCGCGCGCGCGACCACGGGCGCGCGCCCGUGCGCGCCACCAUCGCCGUCGCCGUCGCCGGCCGAGCUGGGAACAUGUCGCUGAGUCGGAAGAACUGGUCCGCGCUGUCCAGUCUGACCCGCCAGUGGACCGUUGAGGAUGAGGAGGAGGUGGAGCGAGAGAGGAGGAGGAAGACGCGGGACCCCAGCACCAGCCUGGACCCAGAUGACGGCGAAGUGAGGCAGGAGAGGACGGGCAGCACACAGGAACUGGCCGAAAAGGAGGAGACGGGCGAGCUCGCCCAGCUGCAGAUGGACUUUGUGGAGAUGCUGCGCGUUCGGGAUGAGCGCCGGAGGAACCGGCACGUGGAGAUCUUGCAGCACCAGCGGAAAGAGGGCGAGGAGUGGCCCGGGGAGGCCAGGGUGGACGUCCUGGGGGACGUGAGAGAAGACACGGCCAUCAGACGCACCUUGGCGUCCCGGGACACGCCGACCGGCCCCGCCAGCAUCCGUGCUCAGCAGGAAGACUUGGACCCAGCCUCAGGUCCCACAAGCUCAAGCGGGUCUUCAAGGAAAUUUGUGAGCUCCCUUUCAAUCUCGUUCGAUAAGAGUCCCACAUGUCCCGCUGAGACAGGCAGCCCCGGUGGCCCGGACGCCUUCUACACCUCCAGCAUCCGACUUCCUCUGAGCCCAACACAGAACGGAGACGUGCAGAACGGGACGGCAGCCAACUUUGAACCAGCCGCCAAACCCGCAUUCGCGCGACAGAGCUCGAGGACCGCGUCCUUCAGGAUGCUGAGAAAAAAAGAGGAGCAGACCGUGCCGCUACAGAGGAGUGCAAGCGUCCGGGUCGCAUCUAAGAAGCUUGAUUCCAGUAAGAUGUCUAAUCCAGAGGAGGAUCAGCCUUCAUCAUUCCAGAGAAACUCCAGGCAGAGGCUGUCGUCUCGCUCGAUCCAGGAGAAAAUGGAGAAGCUCGCCCAGGCUGCUCAGAAGUGGGAGGCGGUCAAGUCCCCCACUGUCCCACACAAGGCUGUGUUUAUGGCAGACGAGGUGUCCAGGAUAAGAAAUAUUUUUGAGAAGGAGCCGACAAGUGGAGAAGGCCACCCUGCAGACCAUCGCAACCUUUCCCCUGGAAUCUCUGAGAGAAUCAACCGCUGGGUACAAAACAAGUCAUCGUUUUCCAAUUCAGUUGACCUGAGGCAUGUGGACAUCCUAAGUAAGAAGACCGCGUUUGAGAAGGGAGACGACAAGAGUCCAGUGUCACCAUCACCACAUGGCCGGGCUCACAAGUAACCGAGCACCAGAAAAAAAAAAAAAUGGAGAGCUCAAAGUUUGAAAGCAGGAGGACUUGAGCGCCCAGGAGCACCAUCCAUUGGCCUUACUGAUUCAUUUCUAAAAUCAUCACGUUCAUGCAAUGUCAUGUAUAAAAAUAGAGCCUUUAGCACUUCUCUAUGUUCUAAUGCACUCUGGAGAAUAAUAGUUGCUAUUCUCCAGUUGCAGCAUUUGAAACCUUUCGACUAUUUGUUAUCCACAUUUCAUUAGUGCAGAACCCAUAGCAUGAGCUCAGUUCAAAUGUUGUGGGUCUUCAAAUGUUCCGCUGAUUCACAUGAUCGAUGUUCACUUGUUUUAAUUUUCUCUGACAUGCUUGCAGAUUCAGGACAGUGAUGAAAAAAUUGCAGCUCACCAAUACUUAUUGUGUUUGGUAAUCUGAUAUCUGCUUCAUAAGGUGGUCUCAUGGUAUAUACCACAUAUAUAUUUUUAUUGAACUCCUAGAGGCAAUGCCAGAUUUAAAAUCAUUAAAGUGGUGUGGCCCCAUUGGUAGAUGUGGUACGUUAAAUGUUUUAUUGUGCUGAUUUCUUGCCGGUUGUUAUGAUGAGAGCGCACUGUUUUUCCUGGGCUUGUGCUACAGCUUCUUAUUCAUUAAUGUAUGUGUAUAUAUAUAUUUAAUUAUGCUUUAAUGAUUCCUUAAUGUGUUUUUUUUUUUAUGUGGAUUUUCUCUCUGUGAUUCAUCAUACGAUGGGAAUACAGCAAAUUCAUCCUCUGAACUACUGUUAAUAAUAUAAUAAUUCAUUAUUGACAAUAAAAUUAUUAAUAAAAUAA